GAUGAAGAACGUAGCGAAAUGCGAUAAGUAGUGUGAAUUGCAGAAUUCAGUGAAUCAUCGAAUCUUUGAAUGCACAUUGCGCCCCUUGGUAUUCCAUGGGGCAUGCCUGUUCGAGCGUCAUUUGUACCUUCAAGCUUUGCUUGGUGUUGGGUGUUUGUCCAUUCUCUUGCAGAGGGACUCGCCUUAAAGUAAUUGGCAGCCAGUGUUUUGGUUUUGAAGCGCAGCACAAGUCGCGAUUCAAAGCUAUACGCCCGCUUCCACAAGCCUUUUUCACUUUUGACCUCGGAUCAGGUAGGGAUACCCGCUGAACUUAAGCAUAUCAAUAAGCGGAGGA
rnacentral:misc_RNA from 1 species